AUUGAACGCUGGCGGCAGGCCUAACACAUGCAAGUCGAGCGGAUGAAGGGAGCUUGCUCCUGGAUUCAGCGGCGGACGGGUGGGUAAUGCCUAGGAAUCUGCCUGGUAGUGGGGGCUAACGUCCGGAAACGGGCGCUAAUACCGCAUCCGUCCUGAGGGAGAACGUCGGGGAUCUUCGGACCACGCGCUAUCAGAUGUGCCUAGGUCGGAUUAGCUAGUUGGUGGGGUAAAGGCCUACCAAGGCGACGAUCCGUAACUGGUCUGAGAGGAUGAUCAGUCACACUGGAACUGAGACACGGUCCAGACUCCUACGGGAGGCAGCAGUGGGGAAUAUUGGACAAUGGGCGAAAGCCUGAUCCAGCCAUGCCGCGUGUGUGAAGAAGGUCUUCGGAUUGUAAAGCACUUUUAGUUGGGAGGAAGGGCAGUAAGUGAAUACCUUGCUGUCUUGACGGUACCAACAGAAUAAGCACCGGCUAACUUCGUG
rnacentral:rRNA from 1 species